rnacentral:rRNA from 1 species
AUAGCGUAUAUUAAAGUUGUUGCAGUUAAAAAGCUCGUAGUUGGAUCUCGGGCGACGGCGCGCGGUCCGUUUCGCGACGGUACUGCGCGUUUCUCGUCGCCGCUACCUCCCGGUUGCUUCCGUCGGUGCUCUUCGCUGAGUGCCCCCGGUGGCCGGAACGUUUACUUUGAAAAAAUUAGAGUGCUCAAAGCAGGCCCGUUGCGCCUGAAUAACCGCGCAUGGAAUAAUGGAAUAGGACCUCGGUUCUAUUUUGUUGGUUUUCGGAACUCGAGGUAAUGAUUAAGAGGGACGGACGGGGGCAUUCGUAUUACGGUGUUAGAGGUGAAAUUCUUGGAUCGCCGUAAGACGAACUACUG